UUGCAUUUGACUGUGAUGCGUUACUGUGUGUUUGACUCUGUGUGUGUGAUUGUGUGAAUAUUGUGCAUUUGACUGUGGUGUGUGACUGUGUGAGUAUUGUAUUUUGACAAUGACUGUGUGUGGCUUGACUGUGUGUGUGGCUUGUAUGCUUUGCUGAAUGAUUGGUUGUUGUGGCUUAACACUGCCUCUGCCGGUCCCAAGCCCGGAUGUGAAAAUGUGGAGGGAGUCUGUUUCUUGUGUGCAAGUGCUACAUUGUGUGUGUGACUGUGUGUGUGAUGUGUCCGUAUCUAUGUCUGUUUCUUUUGUCUUGAUUGUGUGCAAGUGCUUGAUUGGGUGUGUGCUUGUGUGACCAUGCGUGUAUUGCAUUUGCUUGACGGUGUGGUUUGUAUAAAUUGUGUUUUAUAUGUCAGGAUUAAUUGUUGUUUGUUGAAUUUGAACAGAUCUAACACUAUUCUUUUUUCUAAACUUUGUUCUGAUUAUGUCUUAUGUGGAUACCAUACUCUUUUUUGUAUUAUUGUUGUCCAGUCACUGGAAUAACGCUUUUCUAAGUAUUUAACGUACAGCCAUGUAGAUCUAGACGUGAUGCUGAUGGGUUGGGUUUGCAUACAAUGCAGUAUGGACCAACAAAAUGGACUCAUUGCAAGGUGGACAUAUAGGCAAGAAAUGUCAAGAGAGAGAGAAGCUUGCACUAUUGAGGAGGAACAUGCACUGAUUAAUGCCCAUCAGGUAUAUGGGAAUAGAUGGGCAGAAAUAGCAAAAGUUCUUCCUAGAAGGUACCGUCAAACAACUUGCAUCUUAUUGGGAUAAUGUAGCCUAGCCUUGGCCCUCCUUGUUACCAGAUUCCUAGCCCCUGCCACUUCCUCAUUCUUUCCUGCACAUCAUAACAUGUACCACACAUUUGAACAUUGCAAAAAUCGGGUACUUCUAUUUGUUCUUCGGUUCUUCUCACCUAUAGCUAAAGUCAAAGACGACAAAACCAAGUGGAUUAUUGGAGUUACAAGAUACACAAAAUCAUCAGUAAGUUUCUAUCCUUUCAAAUGGCCGGAUUAUGAAUUUUGAUCAGUUUGUCUGACUGAAUCCUUGAUUCCUUGAUAACUUUGAUCAUAAACUGAUUCCCAAGUAUUUUUGACUCAUAUGAUGCUUAUUACA